UNAGCGGAGGAAAAGAAACUAACAAGGAUUCCCCUAGUAACUGCGAGUGAAGCNGGAAAAGCUCAAAUUUAAAAUCUGGUGGUCUUUGGCCAUUCGAGUUGUAAUUUAGAGAAGCGUCUUCCGCGCUGGACCGUGCACAAGUCUCCUGGAAUGGAGCGUCAUAGAGGGUGAGAAUCCCGUCUUUGGCACGGACACACCAGGGCUUUUGUGAUGCGCUCUCGAAGAGUCGAGUUGUUUGGGAAUGCAGCUCAAAAUGGGUGGUGAACUCCAUCUAAAGCUAAAUAUUGGCGAGAGACCGAUAGCGAACAAGUACCGUGAGGGAAAGAUGAAAAGCACUUUGGAAAGAGAGUGAAACAGUACGUGAAAUUGUUGAAAGGGAAACGCUUGAAGUCAGUCACGUCGACCGAGACUCAGCCUUGCCUUGGCUUGGUGUACUUCUCGGCUGACGGGUCAGCAUCAAUUUUGCCCCUUGGAUAAUGGCGAGGGAAAUGUGACACCUUUACGGUGUGUUAUAGUCUCUCGUCGCAUGCAAGGGUUGGGAUUGAGGAACUCAGCACGCGCCUUUGGGUGUCGGGGCUUUGCCCACGAUACGUGCUUAGGAUGUUGGCAUAAUGGCUUUAAACGACC
rnacentral:rRNA from 1 species